rnacentral:tRNA from 1 species
GGAGAGCUAAUGUAGUGGUUUGGAUAUCAGACUACAACUCUGGGAGGCCAGGGUACAAAUCCCUGCUUGGCCA